rnacentral:rRNA from 1 species
GGCUCAUUAAAUCAGCUAUGGUUUAUUGGAUCAUACUCGUUAAAUGGAUAACUGUAAUAACUCUAGAGCUAAUACAUGCCACGAAGCCCUGACCCCGGGCUCCCUCGGGGAAUGGGUGCACUUAUUAGAACAGAAGCCAACCAGUCUCCGCGUGCAUUCCCUCCUUCGGGAGGUGUGUGCGCGGGCUGCAGCACUUCUGGUGACUCUGGAUAAUUGUUACAGAUCGCAGUCGGCUUUACGUCGGCGACGGGUCCUUCAAAUGUCUGCCCUAUCAACUUUCGAUGGUAGGUGACCUGCCUACCAUGGUGAUAACGGGUAACGGGGAAUCAGGGUUCGAUUCCGGAGAGGGAGCCUGAGAAACGGCUACCACUUCCAAGGGAGGCAGCAGGCGCGCAAAUUACCCACUCCCGGUACGGGGAGGUGGUGACGAAAAAUACCGAUGCGGGACUCAUUUACGAGGCUCCGUAAUCGGAAUGAGUGGACUCUAAAUCCUUUCACGAGGAUCAAUUGGAGGGCAAGUCUGGUGCCAGCAGCCGCGGUAACUCCAGCUCCAAUAGCGUAUAUUAAAGUUGCUGCAGUUAAAAAGCUCGUAGUUGGAUCUCGGUAGCAUUGUUGCCUGCUCAGUUGUCAUGCUCUGCGGCGUGCAUCACAUCGUGUGGGUCGGCUGUGCAUUGUCCACGCUCCUAUGGGGGCUGGGCGUGUGCGCUUGGCUUCAUCACGGUGGGUGUACACAAAAACCGCAGUGUAUUGAGCUGGCGUGGCGAUGGUGCCACCUUUGAGCCAUGUCUGUGGUGUAACAGCCACAGGUGUAUGCGAGUGUCGGGCAGUGCUCUGCACCUUCUGUGGGGCCUAGCCGGCUCGCCUGCAUGCCAGUGGAUGCCCUUUAAAAGGUGUUCAUGGGCGGAUGGCACGUUUACUUUGAACAAAUUUGAGUGCUCAAAUCAGGCCGAUGUCGCCUGAAAAGUUUUGCAUGGAAUAAUGGAAUAGGACUUCGGUUCUAUUUCGUUGGUUUUCGGAUCCGAAGUAAUGAUCAAAAGAGACAGGCGGGGACGUUUGUAUGG